CCUACGGGUGGCAGCAGUGAGGAAUAUUGGUCAAUGGCCGGAAGGCUGAACCAGCCAUGCCGCGUGAAGGUCAGUGCCCUUUGGGCGCUAAACUUCUUUUGUGCGGGAGCAAUAAUGGUCACGUGUGGCCAGACGAGAGUACCGUACGAAUAAGCAUCGGCUAAAUCCGUGACAGCAGCCGCGGUAAUACGGGGGAUGCAAGCGUUAGCCGGAGUUUUUGGGUUUAAAGGGUGCGUAGGCUGUGAGGUAAGUCAGCGGUGAAAUGCCCCCGCUCAACGGGGUGAAGUGCCAUUGAUACUGCCUUGCUGGAGUGCGGAUGCCGUGGGAGGAAUGUGUGGUGUAGCGGUGAAAUGCAUAGAUAUCACACAGAACACCGAUUGCGAAGGCAUCUCACGAAUCCGCGAUUGACGCUGAUGCACGAAAGCGUGGGUAUCAAACAGGAUUAGAUACCCCUGUAGUC
rnacentral:rRNA from 1 species